UUCUACACAGGAUCUCAUAGUCACUUAAUAGUGCUGUGUUUUCCUGGGGAGA
ensembl:snoRNA